rnacentral:rRNA from 1 species
GCGGAGGAAAAGAAACUAACUAGGAUUUCCUUAGUAGCGGCGAGCGAACAGGAAAGAGCCCAGCACCGAAUCCCGCGGCCGGUAUCGGACGCUGGGAAAUGUGGUGUUUAGGAGAAUCCAUUUAUCCCGGGAUUAUGCAAUGCGUCCAAGUCCAUCUUGAAUGGGGCCAUUUACCCAUAGAGGGUGCCAGGCCCGUAGCGACCGUUGCUUUUCUCGGGAGGAUUUUUCCUUAGAGUCGGGUUGCUUGAGAGUGCAGCUCUAAGUGGGUGGUAAACUCCAUCUAAGGCUAAAUAUGACCACGAGACCGAUAGCGAACAAGUACCUUGAGGGAAAGUUGAAAAGAACUUUGAAGAGAGAGUUCAAUAGUACGUGAAACCGUUCAGGGGUAAACCUGAGAAACCCGAAAGAUCGAAUGGGGAGAUUCAGUACUUCUCGAUGCCGGCCUUCGCCCAGUGCGCUAUGUCGCGGGACUCGUCUCGCUUCACGCCGCUGGGUGUCAUGAGCUCGGUGACGAAGGUAUGCAUUUCUCCCCUAGUAGGACGUCGCGACCCGUUGGGUGUCGGUCUAAGGCCCGCGAGGUAGCCUGUCUCGUGUUUCACGACACGGGGCAGACCCGUGGUGUUCCCGGCCGACUGCCCGACGGUAGCCUAUGGUACAGGGCCGCUUUGUUGCGUCUUCGGCCCCGCGCAAGCCAAAACGGUGUUUCGGACCUCGGACUCGUCCGUCCCGGACCCGUUUAGCUGUUGGUGCGGGUGUCCUCGGACAGACUCUGUUACCGGUCGGCGACGCUAUUGCUUUGGGUACUUUCAGGACCCGUCUUGAAACACGGACCAAGGAGUCUAGCAUGUGCGCGAGUCAUGGGGAAAUACAAAACCUAAAGGCGCAAUGAAAGUAAAGGUUCGCUCAAGCGAACUCAGGGAAGACGGAUCGCGUCUCGAUGCGAUCCCGCACUCCCGGGGCGUCUCACUCUCAUUGCGAGAAGGGGCGCACCCAGAGCGUACACGCUGGGACCCGAAAGGUGGUGAUCUAUGCCUGGUCAGGUCGAAGUCAGGGGAAACCCUGAUGGAGGACCGUAGCGAUUCUGACGUGCAAAUCGAUCGUCGGAACUGGGUAUAGGGGCGAAAGACUAAUCGAACCAUCUAGUAGCUGGUUCCCUCCGAAGUUUCCCUCAGGAUAGCUGGCACUUAUGUUUGAAACUUUAUAAGAGUCUCAUCCGGUAAAGCGAAUGAUUAGAGGCCUUGGGGCCGAAACGACCUCAACCUAUUCUCAAACUUUAAAUGGGUGAGAUCUCUGGCUUGCUUGAACGUGAAGCCAGAGAUUUGGAUCAGAGUGCCAAGUGGGCCACUUUUGGUAAGCAGAACUGGCGCUGUGGGAUGAACCAAACGCCGAGUUAAGGCGCCUAAACGACGCUUAUGGGAUACCAUGAAAGGCGUUGGUUGCUUAAGACAGUAGGUAUGUGGCCAUGGAAGUCGGAAUCAUCUAAGGAGUGUGUAACAACUCACCUGCCGAAGCAACUAGCCCUGAAAAUGGAUGGCGCUGAAGCGUCGUGCCUAUACUCGGCCGCCAGAGGCAAGUGAAACGUUCGCAAGAUCGUUAUGAAGCCCUGGUGAGUAGGAGGGUCGCGGCGGUGUGCGCAGAAGGGUCUGGGCGUGAGCCUGCCUGGAGCCGCCGUCGGUGCAGAUCUUGGUGGUAGUAGCAAAUACUCCAGCGAGGCCCUGGAGGACUGACGUGGAGAAGGGUUUCGUGUGAACAGCUGUUGCACACGAGUCAGUCGAUCCUAAGCCCUAGGAGAAAUCCGAUGUCGAUGUUGGUGUAUCUUAUGAAUUCAUUUUCGUAAUGUAUUACACCCAUCGGGCGAAAGGGAAUCCGGUUCCUAUUCCGGAACCCGGCAGCGGAACCGUUAACUAGUCGGGCCCUCGUAAGAGAGUUCGUCGGGGUAACCCAAAAGGACCUGGAGACGCCGUCGGGAUAUCCGGGAAGAGUUUUCUUUUCUGCAUAAGCGUUCGAGUUCCCUGGAAUCCUUUAGCAGGGAGAUAGGGUUUGGAACGCGAAGAGCACCGCAGUUGCGGCGGUGUCCGGAUAUUCCCCUCGGACCUUGAAAAUCCAGGAGAGGGCCACGUGGAGGUGUCGCGCCGGUUCGUACCCAUAUCCGCAGCAGGUCUCCAAGGUGAAGAGCCUCUAGUC